rnacentral:rRNA from 1 species
AGUGCGUAAUAGCUCACUGGUCGAGUGACUCUGCGCGGAAAAUGUAACGGGGCUAAGCAUCUAACCGAAGCUUAGGAUUGUCGUAAGACAGUGGUAGGGGAGCGUUCCAUGUGGGGUGAAGUCGUAGCGGAAGCAGCGGUGGACUGCAUGGAAGUGAGAAUGCCGGAAUGAGUAGCGAGAAUUAUGUGGGAAUCAUAAUGGCCGAAAAUCUAAGGUUUCUUGGGGAAGGUUCGUCCGCCCAAGGUAAGCCGGGAGCUAAGGCGAGGCCGAAAGGCGUAGUCGAUGCACAUACGGUAGAAAUUCCGUAGCCACCGAACUUUAAGUCAGAGGGACACUUUUGGAUAGCGGAACCCGGGCGUUGGUUGACCCGGGCGAAAGGGAGCGAAAAUAUAGUAGCGAAGUCCGCGAUGCUGAGAGGCGAGAAAAGCUCUGAUGGAUACUAAGGUGCCCGUACCGCAAACCGACACAGGUAGAUGAGGAGAGAAUCCUAAGGCCAACGGGAGAAGGGUUGUUAAGGAACUCGGCAAGUUGACCCCGUAACUUCGGAAUAAGGGGAGCCUCGAAAGAGGCCGCAGUGAAAAGGCCCAAGCAACUGUUUACCAAAAACACAGGUCUAUGCUAAAUCGAAAGAUGACGUAUAUGGGCUGACGCCUGCCCGGUGCCGGAAGGUUAAGAGGAGAUGUCAGCGCAAGCGAAGCAUUGAAUUGAAGCCCCGGUAAACGGCGGCCGUAACUAUAACGGUCCUAAGGUAGCGAAAUUCCUUGUCAGGUAAGUUCUGACCCGCACGAAAGGCGUAAUGAUUUGGGCACUGUCUCAACAGCCCGCCCGGCGAAAUUGUAGUACUGGUGAAGAUACCAGUUACCCGCAACUAGACGGGAAGACCCCAUGGAGCUUUACUGCAGCUUAAUACUGGAAUUCGGUAACCCAUGUACAGGAUAGGUGGGAGGCUUGGAAGCAGGGGCGUCAGCUCCUGUGGAGCCGCCGGUGGGAUACCACUCUUGGAUUGCUGAAUUUCUAACCUGCGGCCGUGAAUCCGGUCGGGGGACACUGUUAGGCGGGCAGUUUGACUGGGGCGGUCGCCUCCUAAAGAGUAACGGAGGCGCUCAAAGGUUGGCUCAGCACGGACGGAAAUCGUGCAGUGAGUGUAAACGUAGAAGCCAGCCUAACUGCGAGACCGACGGGUCGAGCAGUAACGAAAGUUG